GACGAACGCUGGCGGCGUGCUUAACACAUGCAAGUCGAACGGAGAAUUUUACUUCGGUGAAAUUCUUAGUGGCGAACGGGUGAGUAACGCGUAGACAACCUGCCUCUUAGAUGGGGACAACAUCGCGAAAGCGGUGCUAAUACCGAAUGAAGUGGAGCUUCCGCAUGGAAGCAUCACCAAAGGUGGCCUCUAUUUAUAAGCUACCACUGAGAGAUGGGUCUGCGUCUGAUUAGCUAGUUGGCGGGGUAAUGGCCCACCAAGGCGACGAUCAGUAGCCGGGCUGAGAGGAUGAACGGCAACAUUGGGACUGAGACACGGCCCAAACUCCUACGGGAGGCAGCAGUGGGGAAUCUUCCGCAAUGGACGAAAGUCUGACGGAGCAACGCCGCGUGAGUGAAGAAGGUUUUCGGACCGUAAAGCUCUGUUGUUUGAGACGAAUGUGCAGACUUUGAAUAAGGGUUUGUAAUGACGGUAUUAAACGAGAAAGCCACGGCUAACUACGUGCCAGCAGCCGCAGUAA
rnacentral:rRNA from 1 species